UACGAAGGGGGCUAGCGUUGUUCGGAAUUACUGGGCGUAAAGGGCGCGUAGGCGGUGUGUCAAGUCAGGCGUGAAAGCCCCGGGCUCAACCUGGGAACUGCGCUUGAGACUGGCACGCUCGAGUUCGGGAGAGGAUGGUGGAAUUCCCAGUGUAGAGGUGAAAUUCGUAGAUAUUGGGAAGAACACCGAUGGCGAAGGCAGCCAUCUGGACCGACACUGACGCUGAGGCGCGAAAGCGUGGGGAGCAAACAGG
rnacentral:rRNA from 1 species